CUGCGGAGUGAGGAGAGAAUCUAUCCGGGUUCAUUUUAGAUUUAUCUCCAUCUGAGCAAAAAUCCAAUUUAGAUCCACCCCUCCUUGACCACAUAGCAAUCUAGCCUCCCCUUCAUGGUGCAACAUAACUCAAGGACAGUGAGUCAGCCAGUCAAUAUGAGCCUAAUCUAAUCCUUGGUGCAGAAAUCUGAGCUGCCAUGAGACAAGCAGGGAGCCGUGAUGUCACAGGCGGAGUAUGAAGUGGAGACAUUAGGAUCAUGUCACUCAUAAUCGUCACCUGGGGAGGAGUGAAGAGGGAGCGACUGACCAAUGAGGAGGAAGAGAGAGCAGAGAAAGAGCAUCACCCUCUCCUCCAAAUAUGGGCACUUCUGGCUCCAGAAAAGCAACAAGGCUGAUGGCAACUGUUGAACUUGAGGCCUCAUAUAUGCAGUCAGGAAACCAAUGGAUGACGUCAUGGUGGCUUGGACCAUUGCUUAA